GUCCCCGUAGCUCAGUUGGACUAGAGCAACAGCCUUCUAAGCUGUGGGUCGCUGGUUCGAAUCCAGCCGGGGACACCA
rnacentral:tRNA from 1 species